GAUACUAUUUGAGGGUGUGUCUUACUUUGAUUGUUUAGGUUUCAACCUUAUACAAACCACACCGUUUAUUAAAAUAUCCCUAAACUAUUUAACAUUUUAAUCAUAUUUUUUAUUUCAUUUCAAAAUACACAUGAUCAUGAGUUAGAAUAGUUGCAUAUCUAUAAAAAGUUAAAUAGUGCAUCUCUCAUUCUCUUAUAAAUAUUUUUAAAAAUAUUCCCAAAAAUGUUUCCUUGGAAUUCCAAAUUCAUAAGAGAAAAUAUCAUGCUGCAAUAUACAUAUUUUUCAAAAUUAAUAUCAGGACGUUCAAAUUUUGUGAUAUCUCGCCGUUAUUGUGGACUCUGACCACCUCAUACCAAAACUUAAAUGUUAAAAAAUUUAUUGUUGCUGCAUGAGCGUACUGUGCAUUUGCUCCCUAGGAGUAAAACUCCUUUUAGGAAUAUUGUUUGGGACCGAAGUUUUAGGGAUGUAGCCUCUAGAACCUAAUAGCCGACCCAAAGAGAAAAUUUUAAAUAGGAUUCUCUAUGUGCCUCGAAAAAGUUAACUUCCCAAUAUUGAACAAUAACCAUCCAAUUAUAGAAUAGGACCAAUUUAUGUUCCAUGAUCGAAUCGGCCCAGUGAGUUACUGAAUCCAAUUUGUAUCGAGUCACUGAAUCAAAUUUGCAUCGGCGAUUCCCGAUCCUAAGUUUUACAACCUUCA
rnacentral:lncRNA from 1 species